CUUGGUCAUUUAGAGGAAGUAAAAGUCGUAACAAGGUUUCCGUAGGUGAACCUGCGGAAGGAUCAUUAUCGAAUAAACUAGGUGGGUUGUUGCUGUCCCUCUCGGGGGAAUUGUGCACGCCCUACCUUUUUUGUUUUUCCACCUGUGCACACACUGUAGGUCUGGAGGGGAAGGGAGGCAACUCCCUGACGUUUCAGGUCCUAUUUCUUUACACAUACACUAUUAAAAGUAACAGAACGAUUCAAUGGGCUCUAAGCCUAUAAACUAUAUACAACUUUCAGCAACGGAUCUCUUGGCUCUCGCAUCGAUGAAGAACGCAGUGAAAUGCGAUAAGUAAUGUGAAUUGCAGAAUUCAGUGAAUCAUCGAAUCUUUGAACGCACCUUGCGCUCGUUGGUAUUCCGACGAGCAUGCCUGUUUGAGUGUCAUUAAAUUCUCAACCUCAUCGCUUUUGUGAUGAUGGCUUGGAAGUGGAGGUUUUUUGCAGGCUGAAAAGUCUGCUCCUCUCAAAUGAAUUAGUGGGUGCCCCGCGCAAACCUAUCUAUUGGUGUGAUAAUUAUCUACGCCGUGGAUCCUUAGGAUUGCUGUAAAAAGGUGUUUGCCCUGCUUCUAACCGUCUUUGGACAACUUGAACCAUUUGACCUCAAAUCAGGUAGGACUACCCGCUGAACUUAAGCAUAUCAAUAAGCGGAGGAAAAGAAACUAACAAGGAUUCCCCUAGUAACUGCGAGUGAAGCGGGAAAAGCUCAAAUUUAAAAUCUGGCAGUCUUUGAUUGUCCGAGUUGUAAUCUAGAGAAGCAUUAUCCGCGCUGGACCGUGUACAAGUCUCCUGGAAUGGAGCGUCAUAGAGGGUGAGAAUCCCGUCUUUGACACGGACUGCCAGGGCUUUGUGAUGUGCUCUCAAAGAGUCGAGUUGUUUGGGAAU
rnacentral:sRNA from 1 species